UACAGAGGUCUCAAGCGUUGUUCGGAUUCAUUGGGCGUAAAGGGCGCGUAGGCGGCGGGUAAGUCGGGUGUGAAAUCUCAGAGCUCAACUCUGAAAUGGCACUUGAUACUGCUCUGCUAGAGGACUGGAGAGGAGAUUGGAAUUCACGGUGUAGCAGUGAAAUGCGUAGAUAUCGGUGAGGAAGACCGGUGGCGAAGGCGGAUCUCUGGACGAGUUCCUGACG
rnacentral:rRNA from 1 species